AUUGAACGCUGGCGGCAUGCCUUACACAUGCAAGUCGAACGGUAACAGGUCUUCGGAUGCUAACGAGUGGCGAACGGGUGAGUAAUACAUCGGAACGUGCCUAGUAGUGGGGGAUAACUACUCGAAAGAGUGGCUAAUACCGCAUGAGAUCUACGGAUGAAAGCAGGGGAUCGCAAGACCUUGUGCUACUAGAGCGGCCGAUGGCAGAUUAGGUAGUUGGUGGGAUAAAAGCUUACCAAGCCGACGAUCUGUAGCUGGUCUGAGAGGACGAUCAGCCACACUGGGACUGAGACACGGCCCAGACUCCUACGGGAGGCAGCAGUGGGGAAUUUUGGACAAUGGGCGCAAGCCUGAUCCAGCAAUGCCGCGUGCAGGAUGAAGGCCUUCGGGUUGUAAACUGCUUUUGUACGGAAAGAAAAGCCCUGGGUUAAUACCCUGGGGUCAUGACGGUACCGUAAGAAUAAGCACCGGCUAACUACGUGCCAGCCGCCGCGGUAAGAC
rnacentral:rRNA from 1 species